rnacentral:rRNA from 1 species
UUUCGAGAAACUCGGGGACGAUUAUGCGUGUCGGCUUCGGUCGUCGCGUUGAUUGGAACCGAUUUAAUCGCAGUGGCUUGAACCGGGCAAAAGUCGUAACAAGGUAGCUGUAGGUGAACCUGCUGUUGGAUCAUUACCCAA